CCGUCAAUUCAUUUGAGUUUUAACCUUGCGGCCGUACUCCCCAGGCGGUCGAUUUAACGCGUUAGCUCCGGAAGCCACGCCUCAAGGGCACAACCUCCAAAUCGACAUCGUUUACAGCGUGGACUACCAGGGUAUCUAAUCCUGUUUGCUCCCCACGCUUUCGCACCUGAGCGUCAGUCUUUGUCCAGGGGGCCGCCUUCGCCACCGGUAUUCCUCCACAUCUCUACGCAUUUCACCGCUACACAUGGAAUUCUACCCCCCUCUACAAGACUCUAGCCAACCAGUUUCAGAUGCAAUUCCCAAGUUAAGCUCGGGGCUUUCACAUCUGACUUAAUUGACCGCCUGCGUGCGCUUUACGCCCAGUAAUUCCGAUUAACGCUUGCACCCUCCGUAUUACCGC
rnacentral:misc_RNA from 1 species